rnacentral:miRNA from 1 species
UCCACAGCAGCACUUCUGCACACU